UUUUUUUUUUUGCUUUCACAUAUUUAAUUUAUGUUAAAUACAAAACCUACCAGUUUCCCUUUCAUAAAAAUAUUAGUGCAACACUUUUUGAAUUUUACUUACAAACAUUUAUGUAUUUAACAUAAAUUAAAUGAUUCAGAGUGAAAUGCCCAUAAAGAGCAGAAUAUUUGUUCAUGUAAUGGAGGAAACCCACAAAGAGUUGGUACUUUAUGGGCCAUUUCUUUUUUAAAAAAAAUUUAAUUUAUGUUGAAAAGAUAACCUGCCAGUUUUCGUUUUGUAAGAAAUCAGUGUAACACUUUUUGAAUUUUACUUACAAACAUUUAUAAAUUUAUCAUAAAUUAUAUGUUUGAGAGUAAAAUGCCCAUAAAAAGUUGGUACUUUGAAUAGAUAAUGCUCAGUUGCCCAUAAACUACACUCCCUGAAGGCUAUUUUGUUAAUUACUUUGUAGUACUUUGUUAUUCCUUUGCUAAUACUACUUGGCAUGUAGUACAAAGGAUAAAUCUGGCAUAAAUUUCUUAUUCCAUUGAUAAAAAGACCUGCGUGCCUUAUAACUAUUGUAAUGAAAGAUAUAUCUUUAGAGUUUAUAACAAAUUAUUACUUAAGUUUGAGAAAAUUAUAAAAUAUUUAUGCAUAGUUUAUCAAGAUACCAUUCGCAAUUUCCUAAUAAAAAAAUAGGGGCUAAAUUGUAAAAGCUAGGGUGCCAUAAUAGAAAUAAUAAAAUUGGUGUAUUACAUAUGGGGGUUAAAUUGCAAAAGUUAGAGUGUCAUAGUAGAAUUAAUGAAAUUGGUGAAUUACAUAUGGGGCUAAAUUACAAAAGUUAGGGAGUAAUAAUAGAAUUAAAGAAAUCGGUGUACUACAUAUGGGGCUAAAUUGUAAAAGUUAAGAUAUCAUAAUGGAAUUAAUGGAAUUUUUUACAACAUUUGGGGCUAAAUCGUAAAAGUUAGGGUGGCACAGUAGAAUUAAUGAAAGUGACUUAGAAAUAAGUACUUUAAACAGUGACGAUUAAUUCUUGUCACUAAAUCCGAAUCGGUAGAGUGACAGUGACGAUAUUAGAAGUUGUCACUAUAUAGAUCAUUUUAGUGACAACGUUUUUCAAGGUCGCCACUGAAGACUUAGUUGUUUUGAGCAAUUAUGACAACUUUCCUUGUCGUCACUAAACAACCACGUUUUGUGACGACUUUUGUCAUCACUAACAACUGUUGUCACUAAUAACCAUAUUUCUUGCAGUGUAGUUUGUGAUGAAAAUAACGGGUCGUCACUAAACAUUUAGUUGCUUUGAUGCAAUUGUGACAACUUUAGGUGUCGCGACUAAAGAAUCUCCUUUUGUGACGACUUAUUAUCAUCACUACAAAAUGUUGUCACUAAUAACUUUUUUUUUAAUGAUCAGUGACGAUAACAAAAAGUCGUCCGUAAAUAGGCAAAGCAAUAGUGAUGAUGUUCUUAAUGUCGUCACUAUUGUGUGUUCUAAACACUCCCGCGCUCUUGCUAAAUCUUGGCGGGAAUUUACUAAAAAGUCGUCACAAAUGAGUUGGCUCCCAUUAGAGGUUUGUAACGAGUUAGAAAGUCGUCAAUAAAGGAUCCACUUUUGUGACAACUUUUUUUCGUCACAGAGAAAAGUUGUCACUGAUGACCAAUUUUCUUUUAGUGCCAGAGCAACUCUGGACACGUUUUCCAGCCAUGAAGAAAUUUCGAAAUCGAAAUAUUUACCCAACCAAAUCAAGUGAUUUUUGGUGGAAACUUUCCACACAACCUAUACAACAUAUCUACAUCAAAAUCAAGACAAUUUGACACAAAAAAAUCACACCAAGAGGUGUGGCAAGGACAGGGCAGAUUCGGCCCUUCUUCAAAACUAAGAUGAUCUCCAAGUUAUUUGCAAGGUGUGGUAGGAAUUUGAAGUGAAAUGAGCAAGAGAUGAAGUAAGAUGAUGAAGAGCUUUGGUCUUCUUCCUCCUAGGGUGUUUCGGCUGCUAUGAAAGAGAAAGGAGAGAGUGUUUUGCUGAGGGUGAAGCUUCCUUGAGAAGCUUAAGAGUUUGUGGCCAAAAUUACUCCAAAAGUCAACUAAGAAUAGUGCGCGUACGCACACGUUUCGUGCUCGUUUUCUCUCGAGUUUGUUUCACUUGUGCACUAAACCUCUAAUGCACUUCCAUUCAUACUAUUAUUAUUCACUCUUAAUAGUCUAAAAAUAAAGGUUUUCAGUCCCUCAAUUAAUCGGGCGCGCGAAAAUGCGAACUUCCGAUUUGUGCGCGAUAGAGUGAAAUUUCUAAAAAAUUCUCACAACGAUAGUAAUACUAACUAAUACUAGAGUAUUUAAACAUAAAAAUAACUAUUUUAAAACUAAUGCAUGAGUCUUCAAUCUCCAAUCUCACUGUACCCUCAAAUCGAUUAUUACCUCCACACGCGCAUUCACUAUUUUCACUAAUGAGCUUCCAAAAAAUUAAAUUUUGUAACAAGUCAUUUUAAAAAUACAUGUAAGCCAUAGUUCCAUUUAAUUGAGUCUGAGAAGGUUGGAAUAAAAUAUUCGGAGCAAACGACCAAUUAAAUAUUUAAAUAAGCUAGUAAUAGGAGUUUAAAAUAGGUAAAUUUGCGAGUCCUCAAAUCUUCUUCCCCUUAAGAAAAUUUCGUCCUCAAAAUUAUACCUUGAUUGGUGAACAGGUUUGGAUAUUUUCCUCGAAUAGCUUUUUCAACUUCCCAGGUUGCUUCCUCUAACCCAUGGUUCCUCCAAACAACUUUUACCAAUGGAAUUCGUCUGUUCCUCAGUUCUUUCACCUUACGAUCCAGAAGCUUUACCGGUUUCUCCUCAUAAGUCAGCAUCUCAUCAAUUUCAAUACUUUCCGGUUACAAGAUAUGAGAAGGGUUUGGAUAAUAUUUCUUAAGUAUGGACACGUGAAAAAUAUUAUGAAUCCGAGACAGACUCGAUGGCAGUUCCAACCUAUAUGCUACAUUUCCCGCGCGUUGGAUAACCUUAUAAGGUCCUACAAACCUCGGUUGUAACUUCUUUCCUUUUUUCGACAUUAAAUUUGCUUUCAGAGGUGUAAUCUUAAGAAAUAUUUGAUCUCCAACCGCAAAUUCUAAGUCCUUCCUUCGGUUAUCUGCAUAACUCUUCUAACGACUUUCUGCGGUCAGAAUCCUCUGGCGUACCAAUUUCACUUUUUCAUUCCCCUCCUCAAUCCAAGACACUGUAGUUGGGUCUAAAAUUUUUCAUUCACCUAUUUCAUCCCAACAAAUUGGAGAUCUACACUUCCGACCAUAAAAUGUUUCGUACGGAAUCAUUUGAAUAGAAAAGUGGAAGCUAUUAUUAUAGGCAAAUUCUACCAAUGUCAAAAAUUUACUCUAACUCUUCCCAAAAUCCAAAACGCAAGUCCUCAACAUGUCCUCAAGGGUUUGAAUCGUCCUCUCAGAUUGUCCAUCGGUUUGGGGAUGGUAAGUAGUACUGAAAUUCAAUUUAGUCCCCAACACUUCCUGUAUCUUUUGCAGAACCUCGAAACAAAUCUUGGGUCUCUAUUGAACACAAUACUUACAGUUAUUCCAUAUAACCUGAUAAUCUUAUUCAAGUAUAAUUAGCUAACUUUUCUAAUGGGUACUUCAUAUUAAUCGGGAAAAAAUGAGUCGAUUUGGUCAAUCUAUCCACUAUUACCCAAAUGGCAUCAUGGUCUCAAAAUCCAAAACGCAAGUCCUCAACAUGUCCUCAAGGGUUUGAAUCGUCCUCUCAGAUUGUCCAUCGGUUUGGGGAUGGUAAGUAGUACUGAAACUCAAUUUAGUCCCCAACAUUUCUUGUAUCUUUUGCAGAACCUCGAAACAAAUCUUGGGUCUCUAUUGAACACAAUACUUACAGUUAUUCCAUAUAACCUGAUAAUCUUAUUCAAGUAUAAUUAGCUAACUUUUCUAAUGGGUACUUCAUAUUAAUCGGGAAAAAAUGAGUCGAUUUGGUCAAUCUAUCCACUAUUAUCCAAAUGGCAUCAUGGUCUCUUUGUGUCCUAGGUAACCCUGAUACAAAAUCCAUGGUGAUGUUUUCUCAUUUCCAUUCAGGUAUCUCCAAAGGUUGCAAAAGUCUUGAUGGUUUCUGAUGUUCAGCCUUAACCUGUUGACAAACUAAACAGGUCUGGACAAAUUGGGCAAUCUCCUUUUUCAUACUUUCCCACCAGUACAAAUUUCUCAAUUCUUGGUAUAUUUUAUUCCCUCCAGGGUGUACCGUAAACUUCGAUCGGUGUGUCUCUUCUAAAAUUUCUCUUUUAAACUCUUCAUCCUUCGGCACUACUAUCCGAUUCUGAAACCUCAAUAUGCCAUUCAUUCCCAAAUUAAAAUCCGAAUUUUCUCCCUUUUUAACUCUUUCCACCCACUUUUGCACUUCGGUGUCCUUCUCCUGGGCUUCUUUAAUACGUUCCAACAAAGUGGAAUUCACUACUAUAUUCCUAAGGAUCACUUUCCUUGGUUCCAAUCGAGGAUUCCAAUAACUAAUUUCUUCUAACAAGUGUAAUUUCUUAAUCAUCAAUCCGGCUACUUGCACUUGACGACUUAAAGCAUCAGCCACUACAUUGGCCUUCCCUGGAUAGUACUUUAUCGUGCAAUCAUAGUUUUCCAAAAAUUCCAUCCACCUACGUUGCCUCAAAUUCAGCUCCUUUUGAGAGAACAAAUAUUUAAAACUUUUGUGAUCAGUAAAAACCUCAAAUGUUACUCCAUACAGGUAAUGUCUACAUUUCUUUAAAGCAAACACUACCGCCGCUAAUUCCAAAUCACGAGUCGGAUAUUUCCUUCAUGCGGUUUCAAUUUCCUAGAUGCAUAUGCUAUCACUUUAUCAUUUUGCAUUAAUACACAUUCCAAACCUUCCUUGGAAGCAUCUGUGUAGACCACAAAACUAUCCUUCCCAUUCAGUAGAACUAACACAGGCGCUCUUGUCAAACGUUUUUUCAACUCUUGGAAACUCUCUUCACACUUAGGGCUCCACAUAAACUUUCCACUUUUUUUGGUCAACUCAGUCAUGGGUCCAGCAAUUCUAGAAAAAUUCUUAAUGAAUCUUCGGUAAUACCCUACUAACCCUAUAAAACUUCGAACCUCAAUAGGGUUUUUCGAUCGUUUCCACUUUGAAGCAAAUUCAUCUUUAACUGGAUCCACUUUAAUCCCAUCCUUAGAAAUUAUGUGUCCCAAGAAUGUUACUCCCUUCAACCAAAACUCACACUUGCUAAAUUUAGCAUACAAUUAAUGUUUUCUCAGGGUUUGUAAAACAAUUCUCAAGUGCCUCUCGUGAUUCUCCACAUUCUUAGAGUACACCAAAAUAUCAUCAAUAAAGAUCUCCAUAAAUUGGUCUAGAUAAGGUUUAAAGACCCUGUGCAUCAAAUCCAUAAAAGCAGCAGGUGCAUUGGUCAAUCCAAAGGGCAUUACUGCAAACUCAAAGUGUCCAUAUCUCGAGUUAAAAGUAGUCUUUGGUAUAUCUUUCUCCAAAAUCCUCAAUUGAUAGUAAUCCUGUCUCAAAUCCAACUUCAAGAAUACUACCGCCCCUUGCAAUUGGGCAAACAAUUCAUCAAUGUGGGGCAACGGGUACAUAUUUUUAACGGUGACAUCAUUCAAACCUCGGUAAUCUAUGCACAACCUUAAACUCCCAUCUUUCUUCUUAACAAAUAAGACCGGGGCUCCCCACGGUGAAUCACUUUCUUUUAUAAAACUCCGUUCCAACAAGUCCUGCAAUUGUAACUUCAAUUCUUUCAACUCAGCUGGAGCUAUUUUAUAUGGCAUUUUAGAGAUGGGUGCUACUCCUGGAGUCACAUCAAUCUUAAAAGUUAUUUUCCUUUCCGGGGGUAAAGAGUCUAACUCUUCAGGAAGGACAUCUGGGUACUUUUUCACUACAGGCAUGUCCUCCAGAUUCACUUUAUCACUAGGGGUGUUGAUUAGAAAAAUCAAGUAUCCCUGAAAUCCUUCACUUAACAUUUUCCUAUCUCGAAUCCCUGAGAUAAGUGCAGAUGAAUCUAAUCUACCCCUUACAUCCAAUUUCAGGAUUGCCUCUCUCGGAAUACACAAUUCUACUAUUUUCGUCUUACAGUUCAACUGGGUAUUGUAACGGGCUAACCAGUCCAUUCCUAAGAUCACAUCAUAUCCCUUAAUCGCUAAGCCUAUCAAAUCGCCUAGUAGUUUCUGUUCUCCAACCCAGAUCUCACAAUCUCUGUAUACCAAGUUAGCGAUUAGACUUUGGUCCCCAGUAGGCAUCCUAACAUCCAAGUCAUAAGGUAACUUAAUUGGUUUCAAGUCUAUUCCACUCAUGAAAUUAGGAUUUACAAAAGAAUGAGUCGCACCUGGAUCAAUUAAAACCUAACUAAGUGAUGAAAAAUAGGAAUUGUACCUUCAACCACCUCAGUCGCAUCAGGAACCUGUUGAUGGUCCAGUGCAUAAACCCUAGCCGGCACCUUUGGUCAGCCCCUCCAGCACUAGCAUGCUUAGAAGUUGACUUUUCUGACCUUUGAGUGCUACCUCCUAUCUUCAUUUUAUUUGGACAGUUCGCGAGUUGGUACUCGGUACUACCACAAACCAAACACUUCCCAGACUUUCUCCAACAAUCAUUCUCAGAGUGGUUGGGUUUACCACAGUAUUCACAAGUGACUUGAGGGGUCAUGGCCGAACCACUAGAAGGCACUCCCCUAACUCGAACCGGCUCACUACGACCUCCUCUGGAUAAAACUCCCCUUGAAGCUCCAGGGGUCCUCACUCCUCCCAUUCCUCUUUCCAUUUUGGAAGGUUGUGUAUUCUUACUAGCCUGUCUGGAAGUGUGACUAGAAAAUUUCCUUUUUCUAUUGUGAAAGUCCUUAACUUACAUCCUCGCACUCUCAACCCUUUGCGCUUUCUCUAGAGUCUCAGUAAAUGUAGAGAUUUGGUCUACGGCCAAACCCUCCUGAAUUUUCACAUUAAGCCCCUGUACGAACCGUCUUAUCCUUUUCAGUUCAUUGAUCACCAAUUCAGGAGCGUACUUAGAAAGCUUAGUAAAUUUUCCUUCAUACUCUACUACACUAAAGGUUCCUUGUUUUAACUUGAUGAAUUCAUUCUCCCUCUUCUCUUGGAUUAAAGGUGAAAAAAAUUUCUCAUUAAAUUUUCUCGUGAAAUUCUCCCAAGUCCAAGGGGUUUGGGCUCUCUCCCACUUUUCCCUUAUCACAUCCCACCAAGCACGAGUCACUCCCUCAAAUUGAAAAACAGCAAAAUUCACUUGCCUAUCUUCGGUAUAGUCUAAGGCGGCGAAUAUGCUGGUCAUCCUCUCCAACCAAUUCUCCGCUACCUCAGGAUCAGGUUUACCAAUAAAUUUAGGCGGGUUAAAUUUCAAGAACCGCUCCAAGGCUCUAUCCAUCCCUCUAUCCUGUCCCUCAACUUGGUUAAGUGGUCCAGGACCUUGUCUUUCAACCAAACAUUCUAGGAUAUCAGUCAUCCUAUUAAUGACAGUAGCCACUUGAUUUCUCUCUAUAUUUUCUUGUCCCUGGGUCGGUCCAGUUGCCGAUCCCUGGUCAUCCCCAUGAGGUUAGGCCUGUCUAGUCCCUUACCUACGGACUCGACCACUCCUUCGCCCUUCCAUUAUCCUGGUUGUGCCUAGUGCAAGAAAUAAAUCAAUUAUGCGGGAAAAAUAUCGAAAAAAAAGAAUCAAUCAAAAAACAUUGAAAAUAACAAUAAUUUAUAUUCAUUAACACUUCAAAGUUCAUACAAUUAGCGAGUCAUGGGGGAGAUCACAAAAAUAUAGCAUGCAGGUGCCACAAGAAUACCUUUAGUCACAUACGACUAAAGUAAAAUCAAGUAACUCAAAAGUAGGCCACACAGUCAUACAAAAUACAAUGAUUUCAGCACUAGCAUCACCCCAGCUAAUUCUAACUAUACUAGGCAAAAGGGUCAAUCACUCUGGACCUAGUCCACAGUAGGGCUACCAGGCAGAAUCUCCUCCUCAGGAUCCUCCUCCUGAUCUGGACUCUGUAUAAUGUCCAUCACCUUAUCGACCAACCUACCAGUGUCUACUAGGAUCCCAGAAGCCCAAUCUCGGACCUCCUCACCUAACCUAGUAAGUCGAGCCCUAACCCUCUAGAGCUCAUCACGGGUGACCUCAGCCGUAGCCACCUCACCAGUUAGUAUCUCCUCAAGCUCAGCGAUUCUCUCACCCUGAUCACUAACCAUCAGUCUCAGCUCGUCUACUUCCUCAAAUAAAUCUUGGUAGGUGUUCACCAAUUGACGACGCUCGUCGUCCAGAGCUAGUACAAGGUGAUUCGGGUAGGCAAACGUCAACCUACACGAACAUCGAGGAUACCUGUUAGAGGGUGAAUAACGCACACGAGCUCCCCCACCUAGAGCUCGGUAAUAAAUAGGCCUAGGAGGCUCUAUAUGGCCGUUAACAUGGCCAUUCCCAUUAGCUGCGGGGGUCCCGUUCCCAUUCUCCAUCCCUGCAAAAUAAUCACACUUUUCGGGUUAUAAACUUAGUCACUAACUUGCUCAGAUAUCACUUAAGGUAUGACUAAAUCAUCCUAUCUCAAAUCUUAAGGAUAAGGUUUCUAGUAUAUCACCCAAAUAGAUCUCUAACCUAACGUUCUAAUACCAACUGUGACGCCCCCACUUCUCCCUAAGGCAAACCAAAGGGUAUCCGCGGAACGUCUGCUCUGCUCUCGCCAGGACUCAAGACAAUUCGAUUCAAGUUUAACGAUAUAUAACAAUUAAUGCAAGUCUAAUAAAGAAAAGUCGCUUCCAUAACCGAAUAUCCAAAUCUUACUCCCCCAGUUCAAAAUACAACAGUUAUCCAAUUCUUACAUCAAAUUUUUAAAAUAUACAAUAGCCAAAAUGUCUAGUCAGUUCCAUUGGAAAUCCUAAUACAAAAGUACAUCCAAAAGGGUUCCUCCGAAUCUCACUCCAUGUCCAUUCCUGUUAAGAAAAAUAAAUCUACGGGGUGAGCAAUUGCUCGUGAAGCCAAGAAACACACAUGCAGGAACGUUGUUCAAGUAACAAUCCCAAUUAACAGGAAAAAUGAUAAUAUUCGAGUAAUUAACAAUUCAAGUGAAAUGUAAACGAAAACAAUUCAAGGAUAUGUUAGCUCUUAGGAGCUAAUUUUCACUAGUUUUGCCAAUCUCAUUCGUAUACCUUCCUGUGAUGAUUCUCCGUCAACCGGGUCGAUAUUUUUCAAUCCGUAGAACUCUACUUACUUCUCAUGUCCAUCCACCGUACACCGCACCGGACCCGCACGUCAUUUAUAAGGCGAUACUCUACGAGUAUGCCAAGCGAGAUCUCUCCAAUAGGUCAAACUUAUCAUGUUAUUAUUCUCAUGACUCACUGAAGUUCCCGACCAAACAAGUGCCGGCUCGAGUUCCAAGGUCGGCCUAUAAGUUUGGGCGUCUCCCAUGUAACAUUUGUGAGUCGAGGAGUUCACUCCAACGACGUAUGCAGUCAUAGCAUACCAUUUCAUUUCAUUCAGUCAUUCAAUCAGUUGUUUCAUUUCAAUCAAGUCAUUCAUGAUUCAUUCAUUUCAUUUCAAUCAAUUCAAUCAUGAGUCAUUCAUUUCAAAUGAGAACGAGUGCGGUAAAGUACACACUCGACUCCAUUUUCAAAAUCUCCAAUCAUUAAUAACAGUUAAACAUGUAUCAAAUUCGCAUACACUUGACACUCACCAAUCAAAACAAAGAAGUAAUGCCCACUUGAGGGUUCAGGCGUCCACCGUGAGAUCCUCUUGAAGGUCCUCUUGAGUGCCUGAGCAAUUAAUAAUGAACUAUCACUUAGAAACCCCAAUUAUCACGGAAGAUUGUACACCUGUACAAUCUAGAAAAUAUCACGAAAAUGAGCCUUAAUUUUCUUGUAAAUCGAGACUCAAAAGUGGGGUUUAAAAACACAAGAAAAUUCUAAUUUUCGUCUUUAAAAUCAUUGGACGGAAACAAGUAGGUAUGAAAUCGUACAAAUCAUUUUUCAAACGAGCGAUCGAAGACGAACUUCGAAGAGCCACGUCACAAUCCGGUCGAGAAUUGGCCGGAUAUCCGGCCAGAUUGUGGGCCGGAUUCAAGGCAGUGAGGGAUCCAAAAUUUCCAACUUUCACUACCAAUCCGGCCAACUAUCCGGCCAGAUUCUUUGAAAACUUUCCCACGCGAAAAUUUUCUAAAUUGGUCAAGAAAUAUCGAAUUUGAGGGCAUUUUUUGAAAAAUCAUAACUCACUCUCUGAAAGUCCAAAAGUGAAAAACUUGAUACCGUUGGAAACAAAUUUUAGAGUACUAAAAGUUCCUAGAAGAUACUUUUCCAUGAUUCCAAAUGAAAGACAUUCAAAUUUCAGCUUCAAGUUGCUGUUUUGGAAUACGAAGACAGUUUCGAGGUUGGUUUUUGGCCAAUUUUGGAAAUUCGACAAAAUUCACAGAAUGUGAACUAGCCUCUAAAAUUUGAAACUCUAUUAGAGUUACAAUCAAAGUUUAAAACACAAUAAGCAGAACAAGAAUCGGAGUUUUGAGCACCAAGAUAUAGCAGUUCAAAGUUGCUGAAAUUUUCUCACUGAACAAGGGUUUUCUAGAUUUAAAGCAUGAACUUUAAGACUUUGGUUGAGCAUCGAAAUGGACUUAGAAUGGCACCAAAUUUGGUAAUAUUACCCUACCAUAUAAGGGUUAUUCUUCUGUCAAAUUUCAUGCAAAAAUUCGCACGGAAGGUCAGUUAACAAAGCCACUAAAGUUCCAAGAAUUUUCAAGGCAAAUCUGCCUUGCACUUCAGUUUUCCUUUUCUAACUUUUGGCCCAAUGGAAUCGACUUAAAUCUGGUUCAUUUAUUAAGACAAGGUCUAAGAAACAUCCAAAAUAUAUUUGGUAGGUGGUUAACGCCAAGAAUUUCAAAAUAACAAGUCCCAAUUCAAAUUAAGGCAUUCAACUAGCAAAAAAGAGGGUUUUCCAUCACUAAGAUAGUUUCGUAAUUCGGCCACAACUCACUCAAUUCAACUUGGAAUUGAGCGUGGUUGAUGGCUAUGGAAACUACAUUCAUAAGGCUACAAUUUCACAGAAGGAAUCAUUUUAAAAUUCUGUCCAUAACUGGCUCAUAUUCAAGCAUUAAUUCACAGUACUUAACAGACUCUCUAACACAUCCGAGAAACAGGACAGGUAAAUUUGAAAGGCUGGUACGGUUCACUCAAGUGGAAUCAGGGGAUGUAUUUUAUACCGUUAGAAAACUGGAAGUAUCUAGUUUCUAAUACUACAAACAGCACUCGAUUUUGACAUUGCAGUAAAAAGUUAUUGUCAUUUGAAAUUCACUGCCAGAGCAACUCUGGACACGUUUUCCAGCCAUGAAGAAAUUUCGAAAUCCAAACAUUUACCCAACCAAAUCAAGUGAUUUUUGGUGAAAACUUUCCACACAACCUAUACAACAUAUCUACAUCAAAAUCAAGACAAUUUGACUACAAAAAAAUUGCACCAAGAGGCGCGGCAAGGACAGGGCAUAUUCGGCACUCUUUCACAGUUGAGAAACAGAAUAGGUGACUUUCAUAUUAAGAGUGAAAAAUUGCACUUCCUUUGAUUUUCUUUUCACUCUUUCAACUUAAAUCCACUAGAUUAACACUUAAUCAACACAAAUAACAUCCAAACUCAUCAAAUCAGAUCAUCAAGUCCAUUGUGGGAUUUCAUAGAGCCCACUCACAUGAUUUUCAACAAUCCAAAGCUACGCACAUGAAGCUACAAGCUUCUAAGUGUAAUCUAACUUACAAAAGCUAAGAUUCAAGGGUUGGAUGAUUAGCUAACUUCUUAGAUGAUAAACUCAGAAAUUUUCGGUCCUUUGAGCUCCAAGAAAACCAUGAGAAUGAAGCUCCUCUCCUAGCCCAAGAUGAUCUCCAAGUUAUUUGCAAGGUGUGGUAGGAAUUUGAAGUGAAAUGAGCAAGAGAUGAAGUAAGAUGAUGAAGAGCUUUGGUCUUCUUCCUCCUAUAGUGUUUCGGCUGCUAUGAGAGAGAAAGCAGAGAGUGUUUUGUUGAUGGUGAAGCUUCCUUGAGAAACUUAAGAGUUUGUGGCCAAAAUUACUCCAAAAGUCAACUAGGAAUAGUGCGCGUACGCGCGCGUUUCCUCUCGGGUUUUAAAAAUAGUCUAAAAAUAGUCCAUCCAUACUAUUAUUAUUCACUCUUAAUAGUCUAAAAAUAAAGGUUUUAAAUCCCUCAAUUAAUCGCGCGCGCGAAAACGCGAACUUCCGAUUUGUGCGCGAUAGAAUGAAAUUUCUAAGAAAUUCUCACAACGAUAGUAUUACUAACUAAAACUAGAGUAUUUAAACAUAAAAAUAACUAUUUUAAAACUAAUGUAUGAGUCUUCAAUCUCCAAGCUCACUGUACCCUCAAAUCGAUUAUUACCUCCACACGCGCAUUCACUAUUUUCACUAACGAGCUUCCCAAAAAUUAAAUUUUGUAACAAGUCAUUUUAAAAAUACAUGUAAGCCAUAGUUCCAUGUAAUUGGGUCUAAGAAGGUUGGAAUAAAAUAUUCGGAGCAAACGACCAAUAAAUAUUUAAAUAAGCUAGUAAUAGGAGUUUAAAAUAGGUAAAUUUGCGAGUCCUCACAGCAUCACUUUUCAAUUUAUCUUUUUUCGCCUUGGAUUAUCCAGUAGGAAAUUUCUCAGUGACUAAAUAGUUAACAAUAUUUGGAUACUAAGGAGGGGGUGAUUUAAUAGAAAAUAGUUGCUUUUCAAUAAACGACUCCUUCAAUGGAAUAUCCUCUUCAAUGACCGGUAUGCGACUCAAAUGAUCAGCCACCAAGUUUUUUGCUCCUUUCUUAUCUUUUAUUUCCAAGUCGAACUCUUGUAACAGUAGAAUCCAUCUUAUCAGCCUUAAUUUGGCCUCCUUUUUCAUCAGCAAAUACCGCAACGCUGCAUGGUUAGAAUAAAUAAUUACUUUAACUCCUAACAAAUAAGGUCUAAAUUUUUCUAAAACAAAAACGACAGCUAGAAGCUCUUUUCUAUGGUAGAGUAGUUGAGUUGAGCUCUAUUCAAAGCUCUUGAAGCAUAAUAAAUUGCGUGAACAGCUUUUCCCACUCUCUGAUCCAAUACCGCCCCCACUGCAUAAUCCCUAGCGUCACACAUGAUCUCAAACGGGAGAUCCCAGUUUGGAGGUUGAAUAAUGGGUGGAGUAGUUAAGUGCUCUUUCAACCUAUUAAAUGCCAAUUUGCAUUCGUCAUCGAACACAAAUGCCACGUCCUUUUGUAGGAGUCGGAACAGUGGUGCUCCAAUUUUGGAGAAAUCUUCGAUAAAAAUCUACAUGUCCCAAAAAAGAAUGCAUUUCCUGCACACUUGCGGGUUAAGGUAAAGAAGAUACAAGAUCUAUCUUGAUUUUUUCGACUUCUAUGCCCCUAAAUGACACGACAUGACCUAAAACUAUUCAUUGCUCAACCAUAAACUGACACUUCUCCCAAUUGAGUGCUAGAUUAGUUUCGAUGCAUCUAUUCAAAAUUAAAAUCAAAUUAUCGAGGCAAUCAUCAAAAUUAUCUCCAUACACACUAAAAUCAUCCAUGAACACCUCGGUUAUCUUUUCUACAUUCUCAAAGAAGAUACUCACUAUGCAUCUUAGAAACGUGACGGGAGCGUUACAUAGCCCAAAAGGCAUCUUUCGAUAAGCAAAGGUAUCAAAUGAGCAUGUAAAUGUUGCCUUCUCAUGAUCCUCUGGCGCUAUCACUAUUUAGAAGUAACUUGAAAAAUCAUCUCAAAAGCAAUAAUAAGCACACACAGACCAAUCUUUCUAUCAUUUGAUCUAUAAAGGGAAGGAAAAAAUUGUCUUUUUUGGUUACCGCAUUUAGCUUAUGGUAAUCGAUGCACUAGUGUCAACCCGUUGGUUCAUAAAUUGGAACGAACUCCCCCUCAUGGUUCGCCUCCAUCGUCACUCCCUCCUUCUUGGAGACCACUUGAACCGAACUCACCCACUGGCUGUCGGAGAUGGCGAAAAUUAUGCCUACAUCUAGGAGUUUGAAUAUCUCUUUCUUCACCACUUCUAUCAUCAUUGGGUGCAGUCGUCUUUAAGGUUGCCUGACAAGCGUCGCAUCAUUUUCUAGCCUAAUCCGGUGCAUAUACGCAGAUUGACUGAUUUCUUUUAUAUCGGCAAUGAUCCAUCCAAUGGCUUCCUUAUAGUCCUUAAGCACCCGGAUCAACUUAUCUUCUUGACUAGGUAAUAAUCUUGCAGAGAUUAUCACAGGUAAUGUCUCCUCAUUACCCAAAUACGCGUACUUCAAAUGACUCGACAGAGGCUUUAACUUCACCUCAGGUGCCUGCACAACAUAAGGUAAUAGCUUUUGGUGUGUCUCAGGCACAAAAAUAUAAGCAAGCCCAUACCUUACUGAAGUAGACAUCAAUAGCUGCAAUACCUCAACCACACACUGCAACUCGUCAUUCAACUCCACGUCACAAAUUGUUUCCAACUUGAGGUGUUUGGUCAGGGUCACUUCUAACUCAUCCCUGCCAUUAAGUUCAAACACUUCCUGCAUUAUAGGGUCAAUCACACUCACCGAAAAAAUAGAAUUAGACUCAUGUAGGUAUUUCAACGCAUCAAAAAUAUUAAAGUGAGCAACUUUUCCAUCAAAUUCCAUUGUUAGUGAACUCUUAUUAACAUCAAUUUUGGUACUAGCAGUACUUAAGAAAGGUCGACCUAACAAAAUAAGGAAUGGAUUUGGGGAGUGUUCGUCACCCUAUCUAAUACAUAGAAAUCAGCAGGAAAACUAACUCAUUGAUUUGUACUAGAACAUCUUCAAUUAGCCACUCAGGUUAGGCGUUAGUGCGAUUAGCUAAUUGAAUUAUAAUGCCAGUUUCUUUUAGUGGUGCUAAAUUUAAAGAAGCAUAGAUGGCAUUUGGCAUCACAUUUAUAGAUGCUCCUAAAUUUAGCAUGGCAUUUCUAAUAUUAGUGUUUCCUAUCUUACAGGGGAUAGUGAAUAUAUCUGGAUCUCCACAUUUGGGUGAGAGUUUUCUUUGUAGCACUGUAGAUACAUUCUCCCCUACCACUAUUCUCUCAUCUCCCUUCAACUUUCUCCUGUUGAUGCAUAAAUCCUUCAAAAAUCUGGUAUAUUUUGGCACUUACUUGAUUGCAUCCAAUAGAGGAAUAUUUAUUUCAACCUUUUUGAACAUCUCCAAGAUUUCUUUCUCCUUGUCUGGUUUCCUUGGUUUCUCCAACCUAUUAGGAAAAGGUGGAGUGUUAGAUUUAUUCUUAAUAACAGAAUUGAAAAUUACCUUCUUAGUGUUUAUAUUUGCCCCUCCUUCUUCCUUAAGUUCUUCUCAAUGUGCUCUUCGCUCUUAUCUUUGGGAAUCAUUAACUUAGGUCUUUUAAUCUCCUUCCAGCUCCUGAGGGUCAUGACACUUACAUUCCUUGGGUUAGCUUCAGGUUGAGACGGCAAUUUUUCAAAAACAUGAGAUUCCAGACGAUUGAUUGCGGUUGUCAUCUGACUCACAUGGGUUUCCAUAUUUUGUAUGCUUGACCUCGUCUCCUGUUGAAAUUGAGCAGCACUUGUGGCCAGACUUUUGACCACAUCUUCCAAAGAGCUUCCUGAAUUAGAAGAUAAAGGUUGAGACUUUGGCUGGUAUUGGGGUUGGAACCCUUGUUGUCUAUUUUGACCAAAGUUUUGCUAUCGGUUCCCACCAUAACUAAAGUUCGGGUGAUCCCUCCAACUAAGAUUGUAGGUGUUGGAAUAUGGAUCCUACUGUCUCCAUGGCGCGGGCAUGUUGCCAACUAUGCUGACUUGUUCAGCAUUUUCCUCUUGGAUCAUUUGGCACAUAUCAGUGGAGUGUCCUAUAUUGGUAUAGAUCCCGCACACCUUGGUUUGCUGCUCAUUUCCUACAGCCAAUUGUCGAACAAAAGAGGUCAUUUCAGAUAAUUGCUAUUUAAUUGAUGAAAUUUCUAUCUCAUUCACUCGACGAGUGGGAAGAGUAUCUCGGGAGUCAAAUUGUUGUGAAUUUUUCACCAUUCUCUCAAUCAACUCCCACGCCUCUCCAGGAGUUUUGUUCACCAGUGCUCCACCACUCGCAGCAUCAAUAAUAUUCCUGUCAGACAAGUAAAGACUUUCGUAAAAAUAUUGAAAAAUAAUUGUUCACUUAUAUGAUGUUGCGGGUAUCUCGUGCACAGUUUGUUGAAUCUCUCCCGGUACUCAUACAAGGUCUCCCUUAGUUGCUGCUUAACACCACAUAUUUCCUUUCUCAAGCUUGCAACUCGGGAGGCUGGGAAAUACUUCUUCAAGAACUUAUUUUUCAGUUGCGCCCAAGUUAUGAUACUACCUGCUGGUAGAUAGUAUAGCCAAUCUUUUGCUGAAUCUUUAAGAGAAAAGGGAAACUCCCUCAACUUUAUUAGUUUCUCAGUAACCCCAGGGGGCUUCAUACUCGAGCAUACUAUAUCAAAUUCUUGUAGAUGCUUGGGGGGCUCCUCACCUGAAAGACCAUGGAAAGAAAGUAAGAGGUGAAUUAAUCCAAAUUUUAAUUCAAAAUGAGUAUUUUCAUUUAAGUGCAAGAAAGUAAUACAUAGUGGCAGUUGAGUUAAAUCAGGAACAGCCGACUCCCUCAAUGUCCGAUUGUUGGCCAUAAUAAUUUCCUUCUCUUCAGAAUCACUCGAAUGAUCACUUGAAGAAUCCUCUGCGGAUGCAACAAGUGACUAUUCCUCUCUUUGUUCUCUAGUCUCCUUCCUUAGUUUAUGUGCUGUCUUUUCUAUUUCAGGAAUAUAUACCAAAUUUCCUGUACAAAAAGAAUGAGGCAUAAACUAGAAAAUAAAAAUGAACUCAAAAAGAAACAAAUUAAUCAAGCACUAAUCCCGGAUAACGGCGCCAAAAAUUGACAAGUCGUCGAACCUAUGCAAUAAUAAAACCUACAUAACAAAAAUAUAAAUUUUGUAUAUAGUGGUGAGUAGGGUCGAAUCCACAUGGAUUGGAGAUAAUUUAUUUCUUUCAGAGUCCAGAGUAUGGGGGGUUUUUAUAAAAUUGAGAAUAAUUAAACAACUCAAACUAAAAUAAAUGAACGCCUGGUUAAUAAAGCAAUCCACAAAAGUAGGAGGAAUUAAAUCGAUGGUAGACAAACUCCAGCCAAAGAUACAACCUGGCAGACAUAGUCCAUUCAUCCGAUCAUUGAUGCAAAGAUGGUUUGUUCAAUUCUUUAACAGGUGAGUUAUAGUCGUCAACAAACUCUAGCGACCAACCUUUCCUUAGCUUAUGGAUGACCAAGACCGUAGGAUUUAAUUUUCCAGUUGCAUUAAGAAUUAGAAAAGUUUAACCCUAAUCAAUAACACACUAAGAGGGUUAUUUAAAUUAGAUUGUACAUUCCCCUAACUUGUAUAAACGCUAGUUACCACUAAUAUUAAUCGACCAAACAAUUACGGAUUUAGUUGAUUAAUUUGACAAUAGAUUAUUAGGUCACUUCGAAUAUUGGGCUCUUGACAUUCAGUUAACAAAAUAAUCUCGAGAAAUUAAAAGAGAGAAUGCACAAAUAUCAAUAAAUUAAAGGAUUGAGUUGAGAUUAGUUCGAUCUCAUAGAUGUUCGGGACUGCGUCGUUGAGUUGGUCUUUGACUAGAUUAGAAACUGAGCCACACCUCAUAGAGAAAUUUCCACGCGUAUAAGUUGAAUUCCUUGACAUCAAAUCUUUUCCCCUCAUGAUGUAAUAAUCGUUCGAAUGAGAAAGUAAAGAGACUGAAGAAAAGCGGUCUGUUCCUCUCCUCCCUCUAUCAAGAACCAAAAGAAAGAUAAUAACCUAAUCUGUAUGACUAGCCGCUAGUCUAGUCAGUUUCCUAACCGAAUAAGGAAAACAAAAAGAUAAGGCAACUUCUGAGAUUUCCUUGUUUCUUGUUUCCUAAUACUAGUAAACUACUAGUCAACAAAAGGGAAAGAAUUGAUUUGAGCACAACUUAGAGCCAGAUUUGUCAAUUUCUUAGCAGCUUCCCACGUGCACAAUAUCCUGAGAAUCCGGUCUUUACAGCAUGUUAUCAAGAAAGCCUCCCUUUUUAGUAUUUUUCUGCUCCACAUCCUGUAAUUAGAUCCAAAUACCAAAUAUAAGUAUAAUCCAACAAUUAAAACAAUAUUUGGUAAGGAUCAAAGGGAAAUUAACCAUAAAUUUAAUAAUAAAUUACACCCUAUCAAACCCUAAAUCAUAUACGAUUGUAUUCUUGUGUUUGGCUACAUAAUGAAUUAUAUGUGACCUUCAUUUGAGAGAGGUCAAAGCGGCAACCUGUUUGAGAGAACUUAUCAGCUAUUGUGUGGAAGACCUCACUCUUUAGGUUGCCAUUGUUGAUUCUAUUAGCUCCCUUAAGUUCGAGCAAGUACUCUUCAAGGAAAAUUGGGCUCGGCCUAGCCUCGAUGAAUCAACUUGAUUUGCCAUUGGUUUUUUUCUUUGUUAUGACACAUGUAUUAGUAUAAGUUGGUAAAUGGCCUAAUCAUAGCUUGCCAAAGGAACCAUGCAUCUAGAUUCACCCCAUAUGUAACAAUUUUGGAACAAUUGGAAUGCAAUUGUGCAUAGGCUUUGUAAACAGCACAUAGUUGGAAAAAGAGUAAGAUAGGAUGCAUACCUUGAAGUAAUUGCUAAUGCAAAGCCAUGAGUCGUUCUCUCCACACUCGAAUCGGGCAGUGUGCAAAGGAUCAGCAAGUAUUAGUUUUCGAUCUGUGUAAAAAACUAAGGUAAUAAAUCAUCACUAACUUAAAAGGCCGACAUGCAUUAUAGCAGGUAAGAGGCAACAAUCGUAACCUCUAGAAAUGAACUAAGUGCAAGAAGGCAUAAACCUACCAAUAAAGAGUGUUUACUUCUAAGUCAAAAUACAGGGCAUAUUAUAUAUACAAUUCUCUAGUCGCAUGAAACUCAAUAAGGAAUUAACCAUUUGAAAUAGCUUUGUCUUCACCACAUUAAUAUAACCUUGCACAUAACAAUAGGAUGAAGCAAGUAUACACCCCUAUUCAAUACGACAUUCCCUCUAAAUUCAACAUCUUUGUGUUUUUAUUCAUUUAAUUGAAGUCAAACAGUGCAAAUUACAAGAGUGUUAUCAUUGAGCAAUUUUUACUCUAUAAUAUCAAGAUUUCACCUAAAAAUGUCUAAACUUGACCACAAAGAUUUUGUAUUUCAUUCCUCAUAUAUAGAAUAAAUUAAAAUACUGCACAGUCUUCUAAUUAUUUGAAUGCAAGGGAAAAGAAUUCAAUUCAUACAUAUGUAAUUACUUAAGCAUUUACGACUCAAUGAAUUAGUCCCUUGGAAAAUUGUUGAAAUAUACAAAAUUUUGGUAAGUAUUGGUUCGAAUCAAUUUUGGUAAGUUGUACAAUAUUCUCCCCUUUUUUCAUCGUGGGUACACAGAUUUACUUUGCUUAAUAGGCAGUCAAGAAUCCAAGCAUAUGGUAAGUGAAGAUAUUGUAUGUAUUGGCUUGAAAAGUGUAGAAUAUCCGGUUAGUUAAUGCUCUUAAUCCUGUUUUCACUCAAAAUAAGGACCUAAUGUUCCAAUAAAAGUUAACCACUUUCAAAAUAUCUUAUUCUCCAUUUCUUUAAAAUCAAAUGACGACUUCAUCCCUAAUAUUUUGCCUUCUCUUUCUCUUCAUCUUUGCAAUUGGUAACUCCUUUAGUACUUUUUUCGACUCUUGAACAAACAAACAAACGAAACAAUUGUUGUUGUAGAAUUACAAUGAAGGUAAAAUUUACCAACGAAGGCUAUUAUCAGUCCAUUAUAUUUAGGCUAUUUCAGAAAAUUGACACUCAAAUCAGUAAAGCAAUGAAGGCAAUCUUCAUCAUUUUGACCCGUAAGCAAUUUUUUUUUUAGAUAGAAUCAUAAAUUUGACCAAUCCCUCCAUUAAUUAUUAACUAAAUGGAGUAAUUCCCAAUCACAAAUUUUUUUCCUAAAAAUUAGGCAUAAUCGGUGAACUUUUAUGAGUAAGCCUAGUACUUCAUUUUGUAAAUUUUCCUCGGCCAAAGCAACUUGUAAGGUAUGUGAUAGUAUGGCUGCAAAUAUUUUAGUUCCUGUGAUUUUCACAAGCAAAGAUACAAAUUGCAACCAUGAAUUAUCGUUAAAGAUAGUCGAAAUUGGAAAAGAAUGCAACUAGUAAGGGGAGAUUUCACAAAUCUGGCACCUGAAAUUAGCUGGGCCUUCGCAACUAAAAGAAUGCAACUGGUAAGAAGAAGUUCCUGGUGUUGGAAUGUAUGCCCUAAAACAAUGAUUUUGUUUAAUACAUUUCUUAUUAUGUUUUAUAUUUUAAUAACUUCUUCUUUAUCUGUUAAAUGCUAGAUAUAACUGAUAAAGUCCUUAGAAUACUUACUAAUGUGAUGGUGGUCACAAGUGUUGAUGACUAUGAGAUAUCAAUUACAUUUAUAGUAAUAUUCUUAAAUUUUCCUAGUCAUAGUACUAAUAAAAUAGGACAUCAUUAGUAUGGAAAGACUACUACACAAUUAGUCUCUACUUAAUGUAAGUAGUGGUUGUUCUCAUCAACCAUGGUAUAUAGAUACCUAGAAUAAUGUGUAGAUGAUUUGUAAAGUACAAAUGCAUUGGAAUGAUCCCAUUAGGAUAUCUAUCUAGUGCCAAUGAUUGUAUCUCUUGUGGUAAGUUAUGUAAAUGAUCCGACGACUUGAGAUCACCAUAGUAUCUUGAGUGUGAAUCACUACAUUUUGACUCUAUUGCUUGUUACUCAUUAAGAGUGACUUAUAGAACAGAGAUUGGGUGUAGUGUGAAGCACGAAAAGGUAAUGAAUGAUCAAGAUAGGAUUCACCACUCCGAUAGUAGGAGUUGAUAUCCGGAUGGCCACUAAUAGGAAAUUUACCCUAAAAGGUCGACUACAUUAGGUCAAUUGAAGAAUAUCUUCAAGUUAACCUAAUCUAGAGUUAAUUCUAGAAACUAGUAAAUUUAAUUAGCCAUUAAGGAAUUGGCACUUAUUCCUUAUUCCUUGACUAAUUGGAUAUCAGUGGUGAAAGGAUAAUAAUUACAUGGUAACUUCUCAUGGAAAGGUUAGGUCAAAAUUCCCUUGACUAAUUCCGAGUACUUGGGUGGUCAUUAUGUGUUGCUAGACACCGCUCAUGAUUUAUAAUUAUGAAUUAAUUAAUUAUUGUAAUUAAUGAUAAAAUAAAGUUGUUUAUUUUAUCUAAUUCCUUUUGGGAAUUAUAAGUCAUAAUUAUUGCCAACGUAUUUGGAGCCUAUUGGAUCACACACAUUAGAGUUUUGAUUUUUGAUUAAAAUUAUGUGUCCAAGUGAAGACUUGAAAAUAAAGUAUAAGAUAUUUUCGGGAUUUAAUUACAAAGAAAAUAAAUUCCAGACCUAUUUGAAUAGAUAGGAGAAAAUAGUUAUCUCCUUUCUAUCAGAUAGCUGAAGGAUAGAGUUUGUUAUUGGAUAAAAAUCUAUCUCUUCCUUUUUCUUUUUUUCUACGAAUCUUCUCUCUAUUAGAACGAUGAAAAACCUAUGACUCUCGAAAAGGGAAAAAUAGGGUUUUGGCAUGCAUAGAGAGUGGAGGAAAAAAGGUGUGUAAGACAUACAUAGAGAGAAAAUAUAGACAAGGAAAAGUGAAAAGAAAGGCUGGUAACUUUCAUCACUUUCACACAUAUAUCGUAGAGACGAUUCAGAUAUCACUCUCACGUGGAUUUCGGUAGAUGCAGGACAUCUGGACUGCUCAAGGGGUUGUUCCUCUUCUCCAUUUUGGCAGAGGAACGUCACGCGGAUUAAGGUAAUCCGUUUUUCCCUUUCUUCUUGAACCAUACGCAAAAUCUAGGGUGAUCCUUGAGUGGGUUUUUGGGAAAUUUUUUUUUAAUUUUCGCUGUCUUUCUGUCCCAAAAACCUAACAGUGGUAUUAGAGCUAUCCCUAGUAUUUUUCGUAUGACUUUAUGUGUUUUUUUGUUCAUGGAUUGAUCUUGAUUGUUGGAUUUAAGAAUAUGCGAUAUUCUGGUUCAAAUUUUUGGUGAGUUUUGUGUCUUUUAUUAACCUAUAAAACCUGGAAAAAGUUUAAGUUUUUGAUGGUUAAAGAUUGCACCAAAAUUUGCUAUUAGUUCUUUGAUGCAUUAGCCAAAAAAUUCUUGAAUGACUUGGCAUGCUAUAAUCUGAUUAUAGCUUCAUUAUGGGUUUGAUUUUAUGGAGUUUUGCAGCUUCUUAGUAACCUUUAAAAUCUGGAAUAGUUGCAGGUUUCAUCAGUUCAUUAUCUAAUAGGAAAUUGAAAGAUUAAUCAUCACUUUGCUAGAUACUUGCUAUUCAAGCUGUCAAACGUGAUAGUCAGGCUUUCCUUUUCUUUUUAAGAUGAAACCAGACACUGAAUCUCUGUUGAUGAUCUGCAAGAGUUGCUAGUCUCUUAGUUUUUAUGAAAAGAAAAAAAAUUGCAGCCAAAGUGCAGCAAUUUUACUACUGCAAUCUCUUGACUGUUGCAGCAAAACAUUGCUACCGGCGAUCUUUCAAGAGCUGCCACCAGCUGCCCCUGCUAUGUGAGGCCAUGGGAGGCUUCCUUGGUGGUGGUGGGAGGUUGCCAUAGCUCUUGGUGGUUACUGGGUAAGCAAAUCAAGAGUUUUAAGGCGCAAGAAUGCAUCAAAAGUGCAACAAGUUGCAGCAGCAACCUAUGCAAAAAAAAAUGCAGCAGGUCGCUGCAGUGGCUGAGAACCAUCGUUGCCCGCGACCACUUGGAAGCUACUGCUGGGAACCGUUGCCACUGGUGGUCAGUGAAGAACCCAGUGGUGGUGGUUGGAGAGGUGGUGCUUUGUGGUGGUUGCCGGUGUUGCUAGAAAACAAAUGCAAGAGUAGUUUAGGAAACUAAUAUUUUUGAAAAUUCGAAGUUUUGAACUUUUGGAAAUUUUUGAAUUUGAUUACAAUUUUAAUUGUUAAAAUGUGUUAUGGAAUUUAAUAUUUCAUGUUUUAUUAGGUUGGGAAUUAAUUCAAAAUUAAUUUGAUUAAUUGGAAUUAUUUCCCCAAUUAUUUUCCUAAUUUAGUUAGGAAUAAUGAUGACCUAAUAAGAGUAUUUUUCACCAAAAAUUUUUAGCAUGUAUUUAGUCCCCAAAUUUGUUUGGGUGCUUGACAAAUUAGAUCCAAAAAAUCCAUGAAUGAAUUAUUACUAUAUUUACAUGCUUUCUUUAAAGUUGUUUAAAUUGCAAGAAUGCAUGGUGGAUGGUUGUGGAUAUAAAACCCAAUUUGAUUGUGGAUUUAUGAUUGAAUGGUUGUAUUUAUUUUAAAUAGGGUCUGCGUACCCUGCCUCUCUUAAUUUCUGGUUGUAAUUUCUCUUCUUAUCUAAGUCUCCCGAAUAUAACUCGGGGUUUCUUCUAUACUAUUUGUAAUAAAUAUUAGAUAGAAUAUAGAUGUCUGCAUACCCUGUCUCUCUUAAUUUCUGGUUGUAAUUUCUCUUCUCAUCUAAGUCUCCCGAAUAUAACUCGGGGUUUCUUCUAUACUAUUUGUAAUAAAUAUUAGAUAGAAUAUAGAUGACAGAAAAUUGUAUAAAUAGCAUAGAAAUUGUAACUUGAAAAUGAAGAAAAUGAGCCAUGCAACAAAGAGGGGAUUUUCUCGUGGUUUUCGAUUAAACCCUAGUCAACCACUAAUUUCCCUAAUGGCUGGGGAAAUUAGUUUAGAAGUAUCCACAACCAUCCACAUUUUAAUUUCAUACUUAUAUAUGUUUUUGAAAUGGUUAUAUGCAUGUCUAUUGAUGAGACCAGCAAACAAAUUUUUCAAAACUUUAAUUACAAAAUGUUUUGGAGAAGGAGACAAAUCCCUCAAAUACAAUAUUAAAUCAAUAAUAAAAGUUGCCUUCCAUCAUUAUAGUAUAAAAUCAGAGUAGUUAUUAAGUGCUAGCUUGUUGGGAUUCACCCAAGGCUGCCUUACUUACUAAAUGUUUUUACUAUGAGAAAUGUUCUCAAGAAUGAUGAGUACGAUUUAACUAAAAUUAUGGUUUGUUGGGAUUCACUCAAGACCAUUAAUUUUAGAGGCAAUGGUUGGGUUAAUACAUAAAGAUGUAAAAUCAAGAGUUGAUACCUGACUGAUCUAGAAAUUACAAUUAAUUUGUAAUUGGUAAAGUACCUGCCUUUCAAAAUUAUUUUUAAUUUGUUGGGAUUCACCCAUGGUCAAAAAAAAAUUGAGAUGGGAUUCUAGCCACUAUGGAUUUUAAGAAAAUCCCGAGUCAAUUUAAGAGGGUAAUUGAUUCGAAAAAAAAUAGUGGAAAUAAAAUCAUAAUUUCAAAAUUUUUAUGAUUUUAUUAAACAAAAUUUUUCUCUCUAACAAACUCUAUUUCUGUUGUAGAAUGAGUCACAAUUUGAGCUUUCGUACCAUUCUCACUGAUUGUAAACUUAACGACACAAACUUUCUCGAUUGGCAUCGUAAUGUCCUACUCGUUCUCACUCAUGAAAAAAUUGAAUAUGUGCUUGAUAGGCCCAUGCCCCAGGAACCUGAACCAAAUGCUCCGGCUGCUGCUCGAAAUGCUUACAAGAAGUAUAAGGAUGACAAUAGGGAAGUUUCAUGUAUCAUGGUAGCCUCCAUGACUUCUCAACUUCAGCAGCAGCACAUGAACAUGGGGGCAUAUGAUAUUAUACAACACCUGAGAGAAUAGUUUGAAUAACAAUCAAGGACGGUGAGAUAUGAUACCUCCAAAGAAUUGUUCAGGUGCAAGAUGGCAAAGGGAGCACCUGUUGCUCCACAAGUCUUAAAAAUAAUUGGGCUAAUUGAAAAAUUGGCCGAAUUAGGCUUUAAGAUGAACCAAGAGCUGAAUGUUGAUUUAGUGCUCCAAUCUCUGCCAGAUUCUUUUUCACAGUUUGUUAUGAACUACCAGAUGAAUAAUCUGCAACACACUUUGCCUCAAUUGCUGAAUGUGCUAAAAACUGCAAAGAAAGAAAUAAAGAAAGGGAAGGGUCCCACUAAUGUGCUUGUUGUUUCCUCCUCCAAGAAGAGGAAAAAGUAAGGAAAAGGGUUUAAGAAACCCAUAAACAAGCCUGUCAAGAAGCCCAAGAAGGCCAAGGCAGACCAGUCUAAAGCAACCUGCUUCCAUUGUGGACAAACUGGAUAUUGGAAGAGGAAUUGCAAGGCAUAUCUGGAGAGCCUAAAGCAGAAGAAGCUUGCUGAAGCUUCAUCACCUGGUACAUAUAUGAUUGAGAUUAAUGUAUCUACUUCCGAAUCAGACUCUUGGGUGUUAGAUACCGGAUGUGGUUCUCACAUUUGCAUAUCUUUGCAGGGUCUAAAGGACAGUAGACAACUGGGGAAAGGUGAAAUCACUCUACGUGUUGGCAAUGGAGCAAAAGUUGCUGCUCUAGUUGUAGGGACUUAUUAUAUUGCUUUAACCAGUGGACUGAUUUUAGAAUUAUCAAAUUAUUAUUAUGUUCCAGCACUUACUACGAACAUCAUUCUAUUUCCUGUUUGGAUUUGAAUGGGUUUAGGAUAACCCAGGAGAAUAAAUGUUGUUCUUUCUUUAAAAAUGAUGUGUUUUAUGGUUCUAGAAAUUGGAAUAAUGGUUUAUAUAUUCUAAAUCUGGAUAACCAAAUUCUCAAUGUGAAUAAAAAGAGAACGAGAUUAGAUAAACUAAACAAGGCACUAUAGACUUGGUUAUGUAAAUGAGAAACGCAUUUCCAAAAUUACACAAAGGUGGAUACUUGGACUCAUUUGAAUAUGAAUCAUAUGAUAUAUGUGAAGCUUGUUUACUUAGAAGAAUGACAAAAAUGCCCUUUACUGGAAAGAGAGAACGGGCUAGUGAUUUACUUGGGCUAGUACAUACUGAUGUAUGUGGUCCAAUGUCAAUUACAGCUAGAGGUGGAUGUUCAUACUUCAUUACCUUCACAGAUGAUCAUUCUAGAUAUGAUUAUGUGUAUUAAUGAAAUACAAAUCUGAAUCUUUUGAAGAAUUUAAAGAAUUCAAAAAUGAAGUAGAGAAACAAACAGGUAAAGGUGUUAUGACACUACGAUCCGAUCGUGAUGGAGAAUACUUAAGUGAUGAGUUUCGAGUUUAUUUGAAGGAUAAUGGAAUAGUUCCACAAUAGACUCCUCCAGGUACACCACAGCUAAAUGAUGUGUCUGAAAGGAGAAACUAAAUCCUAUUAGAUAUGGUACAGUCCAUGAUGAGCCACUCGAGUGCCCCAAAAUCGUUUUGGGAUAUGCAUUGGAUAUUGCCUCCCAUACUCUUAAUCGAGUACCCACCAAGGUUGUUGACUCAACUCCAUAUGAAAUAUGGAAAGGGAAGAAACCAAAUCUAUCCUACAUGAAAGUUUGGGGCUGCCCAGCUUAUGUGAAGUUGGUAGAAUCGGAUAAACUUGAUGCUAGAUCUGAUAAGUGUUUGUUUGUAGGGUAUCCAAGAGAGUCUAUAGGGUACUAUUUCUACAACCCAAUUGAGCAAAAGGUGUUUGUCUCAAAACAUGUUAUUUUUCUAGAAAGAGAGUUUAUUCUAGAAAGAGACAGUGGGAGUAGAAUAGAUCUUGAAGAAAUUCAAGAUCAUCAAACAAACAUUGAGCAACCUGUUGAAGAACAACUUCAGCCACAUAAUGUUGGUGCGCAUACAGAAGCUGUGGAUAUACAAGGGCCCCGUAGGUCAGUAAGGGUACGCUCAGCUCCCAAGAGAUAUGAAUUUCUUAUGAGUCAAAGCAAUGAUAUACUAGUCAUUCAAGAUGACGAACCUACUACCUACCAAGAAGUGUUGGAUAGUCCAGACUCCUCCAAAUGGUUGGAAGCCAUGAAUUCCGAAAUGAAUUCCAUGUACGACAACAAGGUAUGGACCUUGGUUGAUCCACCUGAAGGGAUAAAACCUGUAGGGUGUAAUGGGUCUUCAAAAAGAAGACAGACAUGGAAGGAAAUGUGAUUAUCUAUAAAGCUAAACUGGUAGCCAAAGGCUACAAGCAGAAAGAGGGAAUCGAUUAUGAUGAAACUUUCUCACUAGUAGCAAUGCUUAAGUCCAUUCGGAUAUUGCUUGCAAUUGUGGCAUAUCAUGACUAUGAGAUUUGGCAGAUGGAUGUAAAAACUGCAUUCUUUAAUGGAAAUUUGGAGGAAGAUGUGUACAUGACACAACCUGAAGGUUUUACAUCUUCAAAUCCUAGUCAAAUAUGUAAGCUACACAGGUCCAUUUAUGGACUUAAGCAAGCAUUUAGGAGUUGGAACAUCCGAUUCAAUGAGACAAUCAAAGAGUUUGGAUUUCUCAAGAAUCCGGAUGAACCUUGUGUAUACAAGAAUGCUAGUGGGAGUUCAAUCGUUUUUCUUAUACUAUAUGUGGAUGACAUAUUAAUAAUGGGAAACGAUAUACCAAUGUUACAAUCCAUAAAAGGCUGGUUGUCAAAGAACUUUUCCAUGAAAGAUUUAGGAGAAGCAACCUAUAUAUUAGGCAUUAAAAUCUAUAGAGAUAGAUAUUAAAGGCUGCUUGGUCUUGCAUAAUCUACACACAUAGAUAAAGUGCUAAAGAGGUUUAGCAUGGAUCAGUCCAAGAAGGGCUUUGUACCUAUGACUCAUGGUAUAAGCCUUUCUAAGAGAAUGUGUCCUAAGACACAAGUUGAGACUAAUAAAACGCAUACUGUUCCAUAUGCUUCAACAAUAGGAUCAAUUAUGUAUGCUAUGUUGUGCACAAGACCUGAUAUCUCAUAUGCUCUGAGUGUUACGAGCAGAUGCCAGGCUAAUCCAGGUGAGGGUCACUGGACAGCCGUUAAGAACAUUCUUAAGUACUUGAGAAGGACUAAAGAUUUGUUUUUAGUACAUGGAAAAGGUGAGUUGGAGCUUAAGGGCUAUUGAUGCGAGUUUUCAGUCGGACAAAGAUGACUAUAAGUCGCAGUCAGGUUUCAUUUUUACUCUUAAUGGAGGUGUUGUAUGUUGGAAAAGUUCUAAACAGGACACCACAGCAGAUUAUACAACAGAGGCUGAAUACAUUGCAGCCUCGGAAGCAGCUAAGGAAGCCGUUUGGAUUAAAAAGUUCGUGACAGAACUUGGUGUGGUUCCAACCAUUGUUGAUCCAGUUACUAUGUACUGUGAUAACAAUGGAGCUAUUGCUCAAGCAAAGGAACCUAGGUUUCAUCAGCGAUCCAAACAUGUACUUAGAAGAUUUCACUUAAUUAGAGAAAUCAUUGCCAGAAAUGACGUAAAGGUAGAGAGAGUCCCCACAGAGAAUAACAUAGCUGAUCCUCUCACUAAAGUUGAAACAUGAAGGUCAUGUAUUAUCAUUUGGACUGAAUGUCAUGAAUGAAAUGUUUUAGUGCAAGUGGGAGAUUGUUCGAAUGUAUGCCCUUAAACAAUGAUUUUGUUUAAUACAUUCCUUAUUAUGUUUUGUAUUUUAAUAAUUUCUUCUUUAUCUGUUAAAUGCUAGAUAUAACUGAUAAAGUCCUUAGAAUACUUACUAAUGUGAUGGUGGUCACAAGUGUUGAUGACUAUGAGAUAUCAAUCACAUUUAUAGUAAUAUUCUUAAAUUUCCCUAGUCAUAGUACUAAUGAGAUAGAACAUCAUUAGUAUGGAUAGACUAGUACACAAUUAGUCUCUACUUAAUGUAAGUAGUGGUUGUUCUCAUCAACCAUGGUAUAUAGAUACCUAGAAUAAUGUGUAGAUGAUUUGUAAAGUACAAAUGCAUUGGAAUGAUCCGCUUAGAGAUCCCAUUAGGAUAUCUAUCUAGUGCCAAUGGUUGUAUCUCUUGUGGUAAGUUAUGUAAAUGAUCCUACGACUUGAGAUCACCAUAGUAUCUUGAGUGUGAAUCACUACAUUUUGACUCUAUUGCUUGUUACUCAUUAAGAGUGACUUAUAAAACAGAGAUUGGGUGUAGUGUGAAGCACGGAAAGGUAAUGAGUGAUCAAGAUGGGAUUCACCACUCCGAUAGUAGGAGUUGAUAUCCGGAUGGCCACUAGUAGGAAAUGAACCCUAAAAGGUCGACUACAUUAGGUCAAUUGAAGAAUAUCUUCAAGUUAACCUAAUCUAGGGUUAAUUCUGGAAACUAGUAAAUUUAAUUAUCCAUUAAGGAAUUGGCACUUAUUCCUUAUUCAUUGACUAAUUGGAUAUCGGUGGUGAAAGGAUAAUAAUUACAUGGUAACUUCUCCUGGAAAUGUUAGGUCAAAAUUCCCUUGACUAAUUCCGGGUACUUGGGUGGUCAUAAUGUGUUGUUAGACACCGCUCAUGAUUUAUAAUUAUGAAUUAAUUAAUUAUUGUAAUUAAUGAUAAAAUAAAGUUGUUUAUUUUAUCUAAUUCUUUUUGGGAAUUAUAAGUCAUAAUUAUUGCCAAUGUAUUUGGAGCCUAUUGGAUCCCACGCAUUAGAGUUUUGAAUUUGGAUUAAAAUUAUGUGUCCAAGUGAAGACUUGAAAAUAAAGUAUAAGAUACUUUCGGGAUUUAAUUACAAAGAAAAUAAAUUCCAGACCUAUUUGAGCAUAUAGGAGAAAAUAGUUAUCUCCUAUCUACCAGAUAGCUGAAGGAUAGAGUUUGUUAUUGGAUAAAAAAUCUAUCUCUUCCUUUUUCUUUUUUCUACAAAUCUUCUCUCUAUUAGAAGGAUGAAAAACCUAUGACUCUCGAAAAGGGAAAAAUAGGGUUUUGGUAUACAUAGAGAGUGGAGGAAAAAAGAUGUGUAAGACAUACAUAGAGAGAAAAUAUAGACAAGGAAAAGUGAAAAGAAAGGCUAGCAACUUUCAUCACUUUCACACAUAUAUCGUAGAGACGAUCCAGAUAUCACUCUCGCGUAGAUUUUGGUAGAGGCAGAACAUCUGGACUGUUCAAGGGGUUGUUCGUCUUCUCUAAUUCGGCAGAGGAUUGUCAUGCGGAUUAAGGUAAUCCGUUUUUCCCUCUCUUCUUGAACCAUACACAAAAUCUAGGGUGAUCCUUGAGUGGGUUUUUGGGAAUUUUUUUUUAAAUUUCCCGCUGCCUUUCUGUCCCAAAAACCUAACACCUGGGCAGAGCUUCGUGGAGGUGGGCAGUUUUUCUAAACCCAUUCGUUUCGCCAAACGAGUUUUCUAUUCUUCCUCGGACUUCUCCUUCGCCAGAGAAUCAACCAUCACUGUUACUCUAACAGCUUUUGCUUCCACCAGUUGUAGACAGUGUCGGUUCCCACUCCUUCCUACCGACAACCACUGCGUCUAUUGGUCCCUCCUUCUCGGAAUUAUCCGGUCGGUCGAUUUCCAAGUUCGGCAGCUAGGGCUUAAUCCUUAGUGCAACAAUAGCAGACAGAAAGAUUGGGAGUGUUUUGCUAUCUAUGCUCAAAAUAAAGUGGGAGACCAAAAUGACAUUGUUUCAUUACUUGCUUCAACAGUGGCAUACAAGAGUUUUUGAGGUUUUUGGGGUUCUUGUAGUUUAAGUUGUUAAAAAACUUGUAAAAAAAAUACUUGGUAAAAAAACUCACUUACCAAACGAGAUCCUUGGUAUAUCCAUUAAGGCCUUGUUUGGCUCUAGGGAUUCAUUGAGGAAAGGAAAGUGUGAAAAUGUUAAUUCCUUGAAAUCCCUAACCAUUUCUUUUGUUUGGAUGACAAAUAAAAGUAUUAGGGAAAUGGAACAAGAUUCAAAGGAAGUAAUUCCUUUGAAGAAAAUGGAAAUGAAAAAUAAAACUACAAAACACAAUGCAUUUCAACUAAGCAAUAACCAAUUACAUUGAACAUUCAACAAUUUGGUCAUUUGAGCAUUUGGAAAUUGAGUUACAGCUACAAAGAUUUUGACUUUCUUAGUUGUUUUACCAUCCCAUACCAAUUCUCUUACAAAUUAAUUUUCUAGACAUCAUAUAAACAUAAGAAUUGGUAUAUACUCACGUACAAAAAUGCAUUCAGAGCAAAAAUGCAUUCACGUAGAAAUUAAUUUUCAAGAUGGAUGGACAUACAAAAAUAAUUCAGUGCAAAUACAGUAACGCUCAGCUUUUCAAAUGCAUUAAUCACGUCUAUUUUCUAAGUCC
rnacentral:lncRNA from 1 species